GUGAUUUCGAAGCAUCUCGAUCAUGGGGCACUCCAACGUCUGGAACUCUCAUCCUAAGAACUAUGGCCCUGGUUCUCGGACUUGUCGUGUGUGUGGAAAUCCCCAUGGGUUGAUCAGGAAGUAUGGACUUAUGUGUUGCAGACAAUGCUUUCGUAGCAACGCCAAGGAAAUUGGUUUCAUUAAGUACCGCUGAGAAGCUAAUCAUCUCUAGAAGAGAGGAUGGGUUGAAUUUACAUUGAAGAUUUUCCUAUGUUUUCUGCUCUUGUUUACUCAGUUUGGAAUAUGAAAUGAUUGUUAGAAGACGAUUUUGACACUUUGUUCUGAACUACUAUAUUUAAUGUUUCUUAAUUGAGCUUCUUGAGAUUAUU
rnacentral:misc_RNA from 1 species